AUUUUUAUUCCCCACCUACGAUAGUAGAGGGGCAUUAUGUUUUCUGGUCUGUGCCUCCGUUCGUUCGUCCGUCCGUUCGUCCGUUCGUCUGUGCGUCCAUUCAGGUUAAAGUUUUUGGUCAAGGUAGUUUUUGAUGAAGCUGAAGUCCAAUCAACUUAAAACUUAGUACACUUGUUGCUUAAGAUAUGAUCUUUUUAAUUUUAAAGCCGAAUUAGACUUUUGACUCCAAUUUCACGGUCCACUGAACAUAGAAAAUGAAAGUGUGAGUUUCAGGUUAAAGAUUUUGGUCAAGGUAGUUUUUGAUGAAAUUGAAGUCCAAUCAACUUGAAACUUAGUACAUAUGUUCUCUAUAGUAUAAUCUUUCUAAUUUUAAUGCCAAAUUAGAUUAUUACCCAAUUUCACGGUCCAUGGAACAUGGAAAAGGAUAGUGCGAGUGGGGCAUCCGUGUACUUUGGAAACAUUCUUGUUG
rnacentral:lncRNA from 1 species